rnacentral:rRNA from 1 species
GAUGAACGCUGGCGGCGUGCCUAAUACAUGCAAGUCGAGCGAACAGACGAGGAGCUUGCUCCUCUGACGUUAGCGGCGGACGGGUGAGUAACACGUGGAUAACCUACCUAUAAGACUGGGAUAACUUCGGGAAACCGGAGCUAAUACCGGAUAAUAUAUUGAACCGCAUGGUUCAAUAGUGAAAGACGGUUUUGCUGUCACUUAUAGAUGGAUCCGCGCCGCAUUAGCUAGUUGGUAAGGUAACGGCUUACCAAGGCAACGAUGCGUAGCCGACCUGAGAGGGUGAUCGGCCACCCUGGAACUUAGCCACGGUCCAGACUCCUACGGGAGGCAGCAGUAGGGAAUCUUCCGCAAUGGGCGAAAGCCUGACGGAGCAACGCCGCGUGUGUGAUGAAGGUCUUCGGAUCGUAAAACUCUGUUAUUAGUGAAGAACAAAUGUGUAAGUAACUAUGCACGUCUUGACGGUACCUAAUCAGAAAGCCACGGCUAACUACGUG